rnacentral:rRNA from 1 species
CACUCCUGCGGGAGGCAGCAGUAGGGAAUCUUCCACAAUGGGUGCAAACCUGAUGGAGCAAUGCCGCGUGAGUGAAGAAGGUCUUCGGAUCGUAAAGCUCUGUUGUUAGAGAAGAACACGUGCUAGGUAACUACUAGCGCCUUGACGGUAUCUAACCAGAAAGUCACGGCUAACUACGUGCCAGCAGCCGCGGUAAUACGUAGGUGACAGGCGUUGUCCGGAUUUAUUGGGCGUAAAGGGAGCGCAGGCGGUCUGUUUAGUCUAAUGUGAAAGCCCACGGCUUAACCGUGGAACGGCAUUGGAAACUGACAGACUUGAAUGUAGAAGAGGAAAAUGGAAUUCCAAGUGUAGCGGUGGAAUGCGUAGAUAUUUGGAGGAACACCAGUGGCGAAGGCGAUUUUCUGGUCUAACAUUGACGCUGAGGCUCGAAAGCGUGGGGAGCGAACAGGAUUAGAAACCCCAGUAGUCCCA